rnacentral:rRNA from 1 species
GACUACAUGAAGCUGGAAUCGCUAGUAAUCGCGGAUCAGAAUGCCGCGGUGAAUACGUUCCCGGGUCUUGUACACACCGCCCGUCACACCAUGGGAGUCGGAAAUGCCCGAAGUCUGUGACCCAACCUUAGGGAAGGAGCAGCCGAAGGCAGGUCGGAUGACUGGGGUGAAGUCGUAACAAGGUAGC